AGAGCCCCUCGGCCAAUCGUGACACAGUCCUGUAGCAUAGUGCAGGCCCGAAGGAGGAAGAGCAGACAACUUUUUUUUUUGUUUUUUUUGGUUGUUUUUUCAGAGUUUAAUGAAGUUGGCCUAGUCACUCAAAAAGGGAUUAAAGGAGAAUUUAGUGUCACUGGGCUGUGACUGCUGAAGAGGAAACUCUAGUGUUCAGGUCACCGUGUGAUCAGGAUGCUCUCAGUUCAGAGCUGUACCAGGAAGAAUAUGGCUGGCUGUCCUCCUGCUGUACCGGGAUAUGGGAGCUCAGGAAAGAGUUUUCUUAUCGACAAUCUGCUGCAGUCUCAGACACCUUCAGCCGCUUCAAAAUGGACAACGAGUGGACACCUGAGACAAGCGGCGCGUGAAUGCCCAAGGAGAACCUGGGGCCCUGAGGACGGAGCCUUCGAAAGUCGGACCCAAAGUCUUCGGCCAGUGAAAGACUUAGGAGGGCCACAUCUGCCACGUUCUGAUGUGCUGAGCAGUGUUUUCCUGCCGAGCCCGCAGUAUCUGUUGGCAUGCUGCGGUGGGUCCAGCCCCCCUCCUGUCUUCUCCAAGGGAGCAAACAUUCAAAUGUGGUCUGCUAACCCAAGUCCAAACUCACGUAGAGGGAUCCUUAGGAGAGCUGUGUUCUCUGAAGAACAAAGGAAGGAGCUGGAGAGGACCUUUCGAAGACAGAAGUACAUUAGCAAGACAGACAGGAACAAACUGGCAGCUAAUCUCAGCCUUAAGGAGUCACAGGUGAAGAUUUGGUUCCAGAACCGGCGCAUGAAGUGGCGAAACUGUAAAGAGAAGGAGGUUCAUAACAUUCGUUCCCCAAUGGAUGAGCUCAUGGCCCGAGGUCUUGGUCAGGAAGAAGAAGAACCACAGAAUUACACUAAUGCAAAAACAGAGAGAUCAUCAAAGCAAAAGAGUGCCAAGGACACAUGAGAGGUCAUAAUGUACGGAGGGCAAACUUUAAAUCUACAAAAUAAAAAGACUACAAUACUCUGAGGGUUCUAGAAAUAUAUGGAUGAAAAACAUUGUCUGUGAACACAACAAUGUUAACAUUUCUUUCAGUGUAUGGCACGUUUCUUGGCAUGAUAAAUGCAAUUUGGUUCAGCUGCUUGGUCAAUCGCAUUGCAGUGCACUGGCUUCAGUAAGCAGUUUCAUGGCUAUUACACUGACAAGUAUUUCCAGGAGAGACUGUAAUUGGAGUCCAUUAAAGGCCCAAAUGAUUCACUUCAUUUACUGCAUUUCCAUAUUGGGCUGUUUUAUAUUUCAUAUUUUCAUAAGCUCUACACUUAUGCUUUCUUUGUAAUCCAAAUCCAUUGGAACUCAUGUUUCACUUUCUAUAUUUUGUAAAUAUUUUUUUCCAACUGUAAAUAAAGCAUUUCAAUAACUCCUGUUUUAGACAUUGUUUG